rnacentral:tRNA from 1 species
GCUAGUGUAGCUUAAACCAAAGCAUAACACUGAAGAUGUUAAGAUGAACCCCUAAAAAGUUCCACAAGCA